rnacentral:rRNA from 1 species
UACGGAGGGUGCAAGCGUUGCUCGGAAUUAUUGGGCGUAAAGGGUAGGUAGGUGGUCUCAUUUGUCUGGGGUGAAAGCCUUGAGCUUAACUCAAGAAGUGCCCCAGAAACGGUGAGACUGGAGUCCUGGAGAGGGUCGUGGAAUUCCCGGUGUAGCGGUGAAAUGCGUAGAUAUGCGGAGGAACACCGAUGGCGAAGGCAAUCCCCUGGGCCUGCACUGACGCUCAUGCACGAAAGCGUGGGGAGCAAACAGG